rnacentral:lncRNA from 1 species
CAGAAGAGGAGGCCGCAGAAGCGCGCGGCUCUGCGGACCCAGAUGGAGCCAGCAGCGGCCGCAGCCCCAGGGGCUGAGCAGGCCUCCCAGAGGGCGAGGGAGUUCAAGGGCCUGGGGGCCCACACAGUGCAGUCAGGCCCACGUGCCUUGUCCCAGAGCUUUGCAGACAAGAACCUGCUACCCCUGACACCCCGGCAGCUGGCAGGUAAGGGCUCAGGACUGGAAGCUGGGAGGAAAACCAGGGGGUGCUCAGAGCAGAAUGCAACCGACUUGGCUGCCCAGGGGCUGGGAAGGCUGUGAGAAGCCAAGCCAGUGAUUGUAUUGGAACCUUCUCUCCCUGCCAGUCAGACUUGCUCAUCUCUGCUACCCCAGGGUUCACUGCUGGGGGUGGGUGGGGGAGUGUGAAGAAGGGAUGGAUGGAUGGAUUGGUGGAUAGAAAGCAUUUAGAGGAGUUCCUGUCGUGGCUCAGUGAUUAACGAAUCUGACUAGGAACGAUGAGGUUAUGGGUUCGAUCCCUGUCCUUGCUCAGUGGGUCAAGGAUCCGGUAUUGCUGUGGGCUGUGGUGUAGGUUGCAGAUGUGGCUCAGAUCCAGCGCUGCUAUGGCUCUGGCAUAGGCUUGGCGGCUACAGCUCCGAUUAGACCCCUAGCCUGGGUGUGGCCCUAGAAAAGGCAAAAAGACAAAAAAAAAAAAAGAAAGAAAGAAACAAAGAAAGUAUUUAGAUAGUGGAUGGAUGGAUGGUGGAUGAAUGAACAGAAUGGAAGGAAGAAGGGAAACUGGGAGAAAGGAUGGAAAAAAAGAAUCUGAGGUCCCCACGCUGCUGGGGUUUGGGGCUGUGGGGGCUGUGAGUAGGGGUGGAAGGAAUCCCAAUGCCCUUGCCAAGAUCGUGCCCUGAUAUUGGCAGGGACCCCUCAAAGCAGAAUCAUUCUAUUCAUCAUCAGUGAUUUUCAGUACCUGCUAUGUGCCAGGCGCCAGCAGUGCUCAAGGAGCCCUCAGGCACUGUCUCCAGGGCCAGACUGCUGGCGUCCAAAGCCCAGCAUUACCCCUACUGGAGACAUGACCUUGGACAUGAGUUUUUAAUGUUUUUCAUAUAAACAUGUCCAAACGUGAGUUUUCAACACGAGAAUUGAAUGGACACGUAACAAGUGCCAACACACAGCAGCCACUGUUUUCUUUACAUUGUUAUAAUACCCAGGGGGUUGGUGGAUUCCAGUCUUGUCUCAUCCGGGCCACAGUGGGCGAAUCUCAGUGUUCCUGUGUGUGCUCUUUACCUGCUGCCUUUCCCCCUCCCGGCCCCUAGCG